GGUAUGGCUGUUCGCCAUUUAAAGUGGUACGCGAGCUGGGUUUAGAACGUCGUGAGACAGUUCGGUCCCUAUCUGCCGUGGGCGCUGGAGAACUGAGGGGGGCUGCUCCUAGUACGAGAGGACCGGAGUGGACGCAUCACUGGUGUUCGGGUUGUCAUGCCAAUGGCACUGCCCGGUAGCUAAAUGCGGAAGAGAUAAGUGCUGAAAGCAUCUAAGCACGAAACUUGCCCCGAGAUGAGUUCUCCCUGACUCCUUGAGAGUCCUGAAGGAACGUUGAAGACGACGACGUUGAUAGGCCGGGUGUGUAAGCGCAGCGAUGCGUUGAGCUAACCGGUACUAAUGAACCGUGAGGCUUAACCUUACAACGCCGAAG
rnacentral:rRNA from 1 species